UGCAUCAAGCUGAAGUUCUGUGUCUUCAUGAGCUGAUUUCACCUUUGCACAGAUCUUGGGGGAGGGCUCCUGCACUGACUCCUGAGACUAUUUUAACUGGGAUUGGUUAUCACUUUUCUGUAACGCCUGCUUGUCCCUGCCCAGAAUUCCCAGCUGUCUGUGUCAGCCUGUCCCCCUGAGAUCAGAGUCCUACAGUGGCUGUCACGCAGCCACCAGGUCAUCUCCUUUCAUCCCCACCUUGAGGCGGAUGGCUGUGACCCUACUUCCUGCACUGACCCACAGCCCCUGCCUGUGCACAGCCAGCUGCAUCUACUCAGGCCCCAAGGGGUUUCUGUUUCUAUUCUCUCCUCAGACUGCUCAAGAGAAGCACAUGAAAACUAUUACCUGACUUUAGAGCUUUUUUACAUAAUUAAACAUGAUCCUGAGUUA
rnacentral:sRNA from 1 species